rnacentral:rRNA from 1 species
AAAGUGAAACUGCGAAUGGCUCAUUAUAUAAGUUAUCGUUUAUUUGAUAUUGCCUAUCCUACAUGGAUAACAGUGGUAAUUCUAGAGCUAAUACAUGCUGAAAAUCCCGACUUCGGAAGGGACGUAUUUAUUAGAAUCAGAACCAAUGCCCUUCGGGGUUUUCUGGUGACUCAUGAUAACUCCACAGAUCGCAUGGCCUUGCGCCGGCGAUGGCUCAUUCAAAUUUCUUCCCUAUCAACUUUCGACGGUACGGUCUUGGCCUACCGUGGUUGUAACGGGUGACGGAGGGUUAGGGCUCGACCCCGGAGAAGGAGCCUGAGAAACGGCUACUACAUCCAAGGAAGGCAGCAGGCGCGCAAAUUAUCCAAUCCCGACUCGGGGAGAUAGUGACAAUAAAUACCGAUACAGGGCUCUUUUGGGCCCUGUAAUUGGAAUGAGUACAAUUUAAACCUCUUAACGAGGAACAAUUGGAGGGCAAGUCUGGUGCCAGCAGCCGCGGUAAUUCCAGCUCCAAUAGCGUAUAUUAAAGUUGUUGUGGUUAAAAAGCUCGUAGUCGAACCUCGAGCCUGGCCGGCCGGUCCGCCUCACCGCGUGCACUGGUCUGGCCGGGCUCUUCCCUCUGCGGAACCGCAUGUCCUUCACUGGGCGUGUCGGGGAGGCAGGACUUUUACUUUGAAAAAAUUAGAGUGCUCAAGGCAGGCCAAUGCUCGAAUACAUUAGCAUGGAAUAAUAGAAUAGGACGUUGGUUCUAUUUUGUUGGUUUCUAGGACCGCCGUAAUGAUCAAUAGGGACGGUCGGGGGCAUCAGUAUUCAGCCGUCAGAGGUGAAAUUCUUGGACCGGCUGAAGACUAACUACUGCGAAAGCAUUUGCCAAGGACGUUUUCGCUGAUCAGGAACGAAAGUUAGGGGAUCGAAGACGAUCAGAUACCGUCGUAGUCUUAACCAUAAACUAUGCCGACUAGGGAUCGGGCGGCGUUCUUUCUAGACCCGCUCGGCACCUUUCGAGAAAU